UGAAGAGGUUCCGGCAGUUUCCGUUCGUCAGGCAUGUCCUCCACAACCCGACAACAACGCAAAGAGGUGCAACAUUCCACUGUGCCAAUGGACUACACCUGGGCCCGAGAGCUGGGUCUGAUAUAGGUACCGAAGUCGGGCUCCUUCAUGACCAGUAUCUGUGACGAGAGGGGCCUGGAGCUGAUCUAUGCUGCCAUGCCUAUCAGCUUUUAAAAUUGAGUUCUCUGACUGAUACAUGGGGCUGUGUAUUCUUCAAACAUGUCAGGGAACUCCUGUCUUAUAUGUGACACCAUACAGAAAGGUAUAAUAUUUGCACAUUUUUAUAUUAGCAGAACACUCUUUCUACAGUAUUUUGUGAAGAAUGGUGUAUUGUUACACUUAUAACUUAUCAAAACACCUCACUUCUGUAGGCUACUGAUUGAUGAGUGGUAUGAGAAGAGUUCCAUCCUCCUGAAUCUCACAUCUGCCUGUAGUUAUUGAACUCUGCCUGCUGGACCCAUGGGUUGAGGCAAACUGUCAUAUCCAGAUGGAGUGUCAUGCACUCCACCCCUCCAGCCACCUGACUCCACCUGUCCAUACAUUACAUAGAUGGAAGGGACUUCAUCACCCACACUCGAGACUUAAAGACACAACCUGGUCUCAGAGCAUUUCAUAUUAUUCUGUACGUAAAUCUGAGACACCCCAUUUAGUAUCAUAUGUUAUGUUUCGUAUGGUAUGUAUUAAUUUGUGGAUGUCCAUCAUGCAUUUCGUAUGAUGUUACGAAUUACAAUUCGUAUGAUAUGUUACUAAUUUGCAAAACCUAUAAUAAGUUAGAAUUUGCAAAACCUACAAUAUUAUACGCCCACCCAUCCACCCUUCUUUAGUUUUUGCCUAAAGUAACCUUCUGUCUUAUGUAACCAUACCAAACUUAACAUAUCAUACAAAUUCUGAGCUUCCCAGAUGUACUUUUCCUAUGCUACAUCUAGUCUAUGAGACCAGGUUGCCCCCUACACACUGCAAUACAUAUUUUUAUUGCGCCAACCUGUCACUCAAUCAUUUGUACUUGUUUGCUAUUUGUAUAUAGUGACAUAAAACAGAGGGGCUAAAGUUUGAACUGAGGGGGGCUAUGCCCCCUUUAGCCCCCUUGUGGAUCCAGGCCGGAGUUAAGGUUAGAAUUAGGAGUUAGGUUAAGGGUUAACGUUAGGUGAAGUAAAUAGCUAAAAAGUGGUAAGUAGAUGCAAAGUUGCUAAUGAUCCAAAAUGCUAAAGUUGUCCAUGCUAAGAUUUCCAACACGCAAUCUUUGGGUUGCUAGACUUUAGCGUUAUACAGCCACUCAUCUACCCAGACCAACAGGUGUCAUACCAACAGUAACAUAUCAUACUAAUUUGAGUGUCCCAGAUUUACAUAGGCCAGUUUAAUGUAACCUAAUAUAAAGUAACAUAUCAUACUAAAUGGAGUGUCAAGUAUCUUGGUCAAAUAUAAUACAUUUUUUUCUGAGACCAGACUGAUGAUCCAUACCCAACCCUCUAGUAAGUCAUGAAUAACUCACUUACAAAACUCUGUUGUUUUGGACUUUAUAACCAAAAUUAUAAUUUUUACACUGUAGUAAAUUUGGACACUAUAAUUAAUGCUUUGGACUCAUAUCGAUGCCACAUAGUCCAUUUAAAACCAGAGAAGUUGGUUCUAUGGGUCAGUUGACCUUCAUAAAGGAUGCAUGUGAGGAAAUCAAGAAAUCGUAUGACUUACAGCACACCACAUAAACCUCUAUAGAGAACUCUACAGAAGGCUUGAUCCAGCAUGGAUCAAGAGGACUAAAGCCGUGUUGGGCUCUGGUGGUGACAUGCUCUCUGUCAUCUAAUGGAAUGAUGAGCCGGUUGCCUGUUCCCCACCUCCCUCUUGUGUCAUCCCUGCUUAUGUUUCCACACACCCAUAACCUCCCAUCCAAUCCAAACCAGGGUUCUGAGCUCAGAGCUCUCUAAUUGUUCCAAACCACCGAUUUGGCUCGUGUGGCGGCAUCCCCAGAUUUCCCACAGAAUCUUCUGCCGUGCUGCCACAGUAAAUCCUGGGAGGAUGCAGCGGGUAGCAGGCUGUGGGCAUGGAAAGGGGGUCAAUGCCAUCACCAUGACCUCAAAACCUGAGGGUCACAAAUCCCAGAUCUAAGAGGCAGACAGCCUUGAGAAUCUGAGCAGCUGUGCGUGUAAACUCAAAUGCUAAUUUCAGAACUAACAUUUAUGAACAACGGUGUUAUGCUACCACUCCUCAGACAUGCUCUGGCUAAAUGGAAAAAAAGAGAGACUCUCCCUUCACCCCUAGUUAGCCUGCGGCUGUGGCUGUUGGGGCUCCCUGUGUGUGCGGUGGUGGUGAGGGGGAGAGCAGGGGCACCUCCAGCUGAGAGGCAUGCUCGCUAGUUGGUUUGGAUCACCCUGCAUUGCCCGGGGGCGGAACUCUAAGCCAGUGCUUCCCAAACUGUGGGGCGCACAUGAAUUAACAUUAUGCAUGGCAAAAAUGUAUUGAACUCUGCCUGCUUUUUUGCAAGAAAAUGUAGCUUUAAAACUGCAACAUGUUCUCUGCACCCUAUGACAAUGUGUAGAAUUGCAUGAAAUGAGCUUUAAACCUGCAACUUUUGCAGGGAUGUUCCCCAAUGGUGAAAGGGGGGCCUGAGUGAAAACGUCUAAGCAGGUUAGAGUGCUUCAUAAUAUACAGUGGGAGGACCACCAGUACAGUGCAAUUGAAGAGGUGUGUUCCAAAACGCUAUAUCCACCAAUGUUUCACAUUUGUGUCUGGAUCUCUCAAGUGAGGUGUAAGAAGGAUGUUCCUAAUUCAUAGGAGAGAUGUUUAUUUUUUUAUCAACAGGUUUUACUUUUAAACUUUCAUGUGCCUUUAAUAACAAACUUGUAGGGUAUCUGUAAUUAUGAAUACAUUUUAAAAAAUUACAAACAUAGUUUAUUUCUCAUGGAGAAACAAAGGAUUCUUCCUGGUUAGCCUUAAUUGGCUGAGAUAAUGAAGGUGCUGGUCAUGCCGAGAGAUGAGUCCUGAUUGGUCUGCCAUGCAACAGU